UAGGAGAUGGUGUAGUGGAAGCACUAAGAGUUUUGAUCUCUUUGGCUGGGGUUCGAGUCCCUUUUUUCUAA
rnacentral:tRNA from 1 species